GGUAGGGGUAAGGGGAUUUCAGAGCUAGCGGUCUUGGACUCCAGAUUUAAGAUAAUGUUUUGAACCAUGGCUUACUCUAUAGAAGCUCACACCAACAGUUUACCAAACAGCUUAACAGAUGUGCUUACUCAUAAAUCACUCUCACUUAUUUAGGAAAAGAAGCUAUUUUAAAAUAUAACUGUCCAGGGAUUUUCCCAGACACCUGCGCAACUAACUCAGCCUGUCAAAAUAUCAAAUUAUGUGAACAAGUGGAAACCUUGCAAAUCAAAUGCUAAAAAGUGGCAUAACAACUGUUGAGGCAAAAAAGAUCUGAAAGUAUUAGCUGACCACAAGUUCAAAAGAUUAUGACAAGACUUAAAAAAGAAUGCCAUUUUAUAUAAAAUACUAGAUGUACCCUGUCUGGUUUGUGGGGGUUGAUGAGUCUACAUUUCAAGUAUGGGUUUCAAUUUAGGCUUCUCAUUUUAAAGCAGGAAAAUGACAGAUUCAGAUUACUCACAAAAUGUACGCUAGUGAAGACAAAGCAGCUCUAAGUUGAAACAAUCAAAGGGCUGGGAAAUGGUUGGCAAAUGGAAGAUCAAGAAAACUCACAACAGUUGUCUUAGAAUGUCUGAAAGAGACUCUGUAGUGAGGGAUAAAUAUUUUCACUUCAGAAUCCUGCCUUUCUGUUUCUGAAAUACACCUUCAUCUCUAUAUUUCUACUGCCUCUGAUCUAAACUAAGCCUCCGUAUUGCAAUAAUUUCCUAAUUAGUGUCCCUGCAUCUCAUCUUGUAUUUCUCCGCAUAAACCCUUCAUAACAUACCAGAAUUGUCUCCAAAACACCAAUCUUACUGUGACAUUUCCCAGCUUAAAAACCUCUAAGUGGCUCUGCAGUACACACAGAGUAAGUGUGAAUUUGUCAGUCUCACAAGGUUUCUGACUAUUAUUCACAUUCAUAUCCUGCUCCUCCUCUCUUAUCCCAGCCCCACAACCAUCUCCCUUUCCUUACACCUAUGCCCUGGUUCCUUAGGACUAAUCACUCUAAACCUGUUUUCCUUACACACACACUGUUCUUUCUCUCUAUCUGGAAUUCUCCACCCCUAAAUCCCAAUUCCCAGCUAAUAAACUUCUGUUCAUCCUUUAGAACCUGCAAAAAUAUGUCAUUUCUUCUAUGAAGCCUACCCUACUUCCCACAGUCAGGAUUCAGGGUCUUCUCCUCAGCACACCCCUAGCCCUUUGUACAUAAUACACAGAGGGGCAACACAGGGGAGCAGAUAUUGUUUCAACAGAGCAAUAACAUUGGUGAUGACAUUAAUAAUAUUAGCUACCAUUUCCAAGCACCUAGGAGGUGCCAAGCAAUGUCUUAGGAACUAUGCAUGUGCCAUCUUGAUCCACACAACCCUAGGCAGUAGGUCACUUACAAAUAAAGAAUCUGAGAGUCAGAUAGGUAUAGUGGCUUGCCCAAAGUCAAGCAACAAGUAAAUGGUGGAAUUGGGAUUUGAAAACAAGUCUCUCUGACUCUAAAAUCCAUGCUCCAGGCCAUACACAAAACUGUCUCCAUUAAACCUCCAAAAAAAUCAGAGGUGUCCAGUUGAUGUCAUGGUGUCCUCUGGAAGUUUGUUUCUAACCAUUCAAAGUGAAUGUUUCUUUCUCAAAAAUAUUUCAGAAUGCUAACUCCACUCUUUUGGACUCUACCCUAUUGAAAUAGCAUCAAGGAGGGUGUGGCGUGGUAGGGUGCUAGCCAGCUCACCUUCUUCUCAAAUAAUCUCCAUCGGCACUCUCCUAGACACCCUGAAUAUUUACAGUCUCUAAAUAAAACUAGCAUACUUGCAAAAGAACAAGGUUUCGAGACAUAUGCUCCAGCUGCCUUCGUCCUCUCACCAGACUGAUGGCCCAAGUCCCUCCCAUAAAGAAACGGAGAAUUGCUGCUGACUGUACGGGCUCUAAGGAUGCCUUCACAUCUAGCAUUCUUUGAAAAAAAAAUUCUACGGAAAAAGCAGAGAGAUGUAGAAUACUAAUCUGUAAGUCCUCUGCUUAAUGUUGAUUAUGUACACUUGAUACCACUCUCUUCUCACCCUUUACAGAUAACAUUCUGCCUGAAUCUAUCACGGACUUAAGUUAUUAGGACCAUAGGCUCUCACUUGUGUUCUUGGCUGAUUUAAAAACCUAAGAAACAUUCUGAAGUUGUUUACUGAAAAACUGCUUACCAUUUGCUUAUCUCCCUACCAAGGGAUAUAUGCAAGGGGAAGUUUAAUGCAUUUAUCUUCCCCCUUUGAUUGCAUCUUGCCAUCUGUGGUGCAUCCAGGAGGACCAGAGAGGCAUGCAUCUGUAAUGACUGUACUUUAAUAUUCUGGAUGCUACUAUAGAUACCAAAAGAUUUGGGAGGGAACCGAAGCCUAGGGAAAUAUAUGGGUAAAUUCAGCUCAGUUACUUUCCUUUGGAUGAUUUGCCUGAAGUAGAACAUUCUAAAGUUUGCAAGUUAGUACGUGAUAUCUUUUAAAAUAACUCUAGACGUGCGGCCGGUUCUGUUCAAAAAAUGGAACGUCAAAGGUGACUCAGCCCAGCUGAAGCAAGAAAAGUUUAAUUCAGAACAUAAUUUCCUUUCCUUUAUUUGCACACCACAGUUCUGGGGAAUAAAAGCCAUUACGGAAUCAAAGGACAAUUUGCUUUUUUGUUGUUGUUGUUCUGCACUGAAUUUUUAAAGGCUUUUUUAAAAGAACAUAAACAGAUGAAUGAUACUAGAUUCAGUGCAGCUUAAAACUAAGUACCUUGAGCUCUUUCCUAUGAUAAACAGAAACCAAUCUUGGCUCUCUGCCCCCAAGCACAGUUCUGCGUGUACUCAGUGAGAUGAAUUUUUUCCUUGUCUGGGGGAAGGGAGUUCAGGCAGGCAUGGGUAGUGAGUCUCAGAGAGAUAGGAAUUUUAAAAGAUAUUUAAUUAAAAUGUUUCAGUCUUCUCCCUCCUCUCUUCCCACAAAAUAAAGUCUCUCUCUGCCUUUUAGGUUUCUCUGUUUCCAAACGUCAAAGGGAAAUUCUGAGCCUAUCAGAGAAGUCCCUGGGCUUUUCUAUGUAUCUUGUCGGGUAGAAGAAAUAUUGUUAGGGUGGGGAGAUCAGGAGAAACUAUACUUACACUUAAAGGAAAAUAAAAGAAAAAAUCUAAUAGUGUGAGGGAAACAGUGAAAAUUCCAAGAGCUAAAUAAAAUGUGCUUCUAUAAGAGUUUCUGUAGGACGUAGAUUAUAAGGUAUGGACACCAAGGUUUUGGAGGCAGCAACAGAGUGUGAGAAUAUUGAUAUGAAUUAUGCAUUAAAUCCCUUAGACCUUCUUCAAGAAAUAUCAGUAAAUGGUGGGAUUGCUUUUAAUUACUUUUUGAUAGCUGAGCUAUUUCUCUGAAUGUGACACUGUACAGAGAAUAGACAAUGUGAGGCCCCAGCUUAUAAUAGGAAUUAAAGAAGAAACUAAGUCUAAAACCAGGAGGGAGAAAGUGAGUUCUGCCUCUACAGCCCUUCCCGAAUUGGGGAUGCUGAAUGUGACUUUAAGCCCUCCCUGAAGCCUUGGCAUGGAGUCCCUAGGAAGAACACUGACCUGAAGCAUGAGCACUGCCCUGAAACUGCAAUGUAAGGAAGCCCAUCUGACCUGUAGGACAACGUGAGACAACAGGGAGAACCAAGGCAACCCUGCUGACAGCCAGAACCAACCACCAAACCUGCGUGUGAGGGCAUCUUGGACCUUCCAGCCUACCUUCCAGUUGAAUGCAGUGGCAUGAGUGAGCCAAGUGUCACCAGGAGAGGAACCAUCCAGUAAACCCGUAAAUCAUGAAAGAUAAGAAACUGCUGUUGUUUUAUACCAACAACUUCGGGGGUGACUGGUUACAGAGCAAUACAUAACUAAUAAAAUACUUCACAAGAUUCAUUAAAAUUAUCAAAAGAAUGAUGGUCAAGAAAGGGUAAGGAUCAAGGACUAAGUCUUGGACACUCUGGCAUAUAGCCAAUAUCUGUAUUACACUAAUAUAUAUUAAUAUUACAUGCAUAUUAUAUUGAAAUUUGGCUAUAUUAUUGGAAAAACAUGUUUAGUUAAAGACAGCUAUGGAAAUGAUUGUCUAGAAUUCCAAAAAUGUUAAGCAAAUGUGAUGAUUUACAGUGAUAAUGUAACCCUAUGUUUGCAUCUGUUGCCUCACAAACCCUAACGUGUUUGCAAAUGGGAAAACAUACGUUUAUUGUUGAAAUUUAUAUCUAUCAAUCUAUCUCUAUAUAUCUCUAUAGAUAUAUAUAUCUCACAGUGACUGAUACUAUAGUGUGUAUACUACAAACUCUGUUGUAGAAAACCAAGGAACUAAUGAUAAACAAGGAGAUGUGGCUGUAUGCCAUAAUGAAA